GUGCUCGCUUCGGCAGCACAUAUACUAAAAUUGUAACGAUAAAGAGAAGAUUAGCAUGGCCCCUAAAAAAAAAAAAAAUCAAAUAGAGGAAAGGGCAGUAGUGGU